rnacentral:rRNA from 1 species
UACAGAGGUGGCAAGCGUUGUUCGGAAUGAUUGGGCGUAAAGCGUCUGUAGGUGGCUUUUUAAGUCUGCCGUCAAAUCCCAGGGCUUAACCCUGGACAGGCGGUGGAAACUACCAAGCUGGAGUACGGUAGGGGCAGGGGGAAUUUCCGGUGGAGCGGUGAAAUGCGUAGAGAUCGGAAAGAACACCAACGGCGAAAGCACUCUGCUGGGCCGACACUGACACUGAGAGACGAAAGCUAGGGGAGCGAAUGGG